CUUGAUAUGUGAAUAAAAAACAACAUUUAAUGACUACCCUCUAGCCAUCAAUCCUUUCUUUCCCCCCCCCAAUUAAUCAUUUCUUUUUGGAAUUCAGAAUUACUACACAGAACAUGUUCAGCAUUGCGCAGUUUGGUUGGUUGGUGGUUCACGUACAUUUCAGCGCAGAGUUCAGGGAUUUAGAAAAUCACCUGAUCGCCC